UCCCCACCAACCACACUGCUGUUGCAAAGCACCUUGGGUGUUCCCAAACUUGCCCGCUGGUAACCCAUUACCUAGACAUACGGAGACAAACGGCACGAAGUGCUGGAGGGAGAUACAGCAUCAGAGAGAUUUUGCUGAGUUACAGCACAGCACAUCCAGAAAACUAUUUUGAACCUAAUUGAUUAUAAUAAUCUUUCAUUUUUGUAACUGCAAAAUAUGUGACAUACCAUACUGUUGUGUUUUAUUUGCUCUAACUUUACCCUUUUUGUCUAUAAAUAGUAGUCAACCUCUGAUGUUCUGUACACUGCAAACAUUUCCUCCAGUAAUGCCAAAUGUUGUGGCCUGUUCUUUUACACUCCUAUUUUCAAACCUUAUGUCACCAACUCUUUUCAACACAAAGUGAUGCACUUGCUGUUCCGUACGGUAGGCCUACUGCUUAUAUUAUUUCACCAUCUGUAAACAAAUGUAGCCUAAGUAGUGAAUGUGUGUUUGUGGGGAUAUGUGGUAAGGUGGGCUGGCGUGGCUACAGUGCCAAUGCUGAAUUUUUGUCCCACUCCGCCCCUGUAUGUCUUACAUAAAAAAGUCCGUUC